rnacentral:lncRNA from 1 species
CAUGCGUGCAUAUGGUGUUUAUUUAUCUCGCCACAAUCCACAUCUGCUCCCUCCCAGCUUCAAAAUCAAUUCACCCAACAAGAGGUUGGCUGGUGGUCCCUGUUAAAAAGGUGGACCCAAAUCCGAAUAUAGAAAGCUAGGAGCCGAGAACAGGUAUUUUUGUUGGUUGGCUAACCAGCUCACACAUAAUUUUCUCGACAACGUAGCAACAAAGCAC